UUUGCAGGAUAUUGUAAAGAGAGAGAGAGCCUUGAGCGCAACCGCAUAGCCAUUUAUGAACACACACCCCGCCCUGUUUUCUUUGUUUUGAAACACACACACAUCCACUACCGCACACGCACGCACACACGAACGCGCGCACAUGGCUUUUUCCGCAAGUCUUUUUCUCCGGGGGCAUGCUUGGUGAUAGAUGGAAAGGACUUAUUCCUAUCGUUAAAAGAUAUAGGUCCUGGUUAGCCCUGACCAUUAUCCGAUCGCUAAGACGCUUGCACACUCCCUCAAAGCGCCAUACAGGGGCCUGGUAUAGCCAUCCACCAUUAUCCGUGUCCAAUUCCCCUUCAAACUGCCUGGCUCUCUUGCACGGUUCAUCAAAACUCCGUAAGUUUUCCCUCCAGGGGUAUAUAAUCCGUCGGGCCUUUAGAUCCUGGCUAUGUCUCAAGGACAGCCGCGGCCAGCGCUGUAAUUGUUCACCAUUUUGGAAAAGACUGUCCAGCUUAUUCAUAAGUGUUAUGAAAAUUGGAUAAUCCACCCAUUUAAAACUAAACACAGGAAUAAAAAAGUUUACAUCUUUGCAUGCUCUGGAAGAUACAGGAGAAUUGACAGACUUUGCAGCAUUAGCACCAUCAUAAAGUUCACAGACUAAAAUUGUCACUUUGGCGUCAGGGCUAUAGGCCAUUGAAGCGAUUCUUAGGGCCUUCAGAUCACUGCGGCCGCAGACCUGUUCUUCCAACGCAUAUCCGGGCACAUUUGUACCACUCAGGGCCUGUUCAAUUUUACAGAGCGCCAGCCUAAUCUUUAACCAUUUUCUCAUCCGCAGAGCAGGAGAAAAACUCCCAGGUUUUGCCUGAUAAAGGGGUUUGGGGCCACUGUCUGUGAAUAUCUUUACCGUAGAAGCCUCCGGCUGGAAUAUGUAAGACAUAUGUCCCUCACUCGUACCCAAAACUCCUUUAAAACAUUCUGGAUCUUCACACAGAACUUCCUCAAUGCUUUGGUCACUGGGUUCAUGACAAGACGCGCAUAACAUACCGAAAAUUGGCAUAGGUGUCAUUUUUGUUUAAUAUUCCGGGGGUUAUCAUGUACAGUCUUACGCAUGUAUUGUUCUGGGGCUUUAUAAGGCGUCUGCAAAGCCCAAUACCCCAGGACAUUCGUGUUUCAUAGACAACAACCCGGAGGGCAAUAGAAUAGGGGGGACUUACUCUUUGAAAUGUUCAUUCCCCCCACCCUGUUCCAAACAGGAUACUAGACAUCAAACAUCAUGACAACUUCAAAGACACUAUAAAAAAAUAGGGGGGGCUUACUCUUUGAAAUGUUCAUUCCCCCCACCCCGUUCCAAACAGGACACUAGACAUCAAAGAUCAUGACAACUUCAAAAACAACUCUAAGCCGUGAGAACCAGGAACAGGAUGCCCAAACACAUGGUCACUUUCUCCCUACGUGUGCAUGCAGGACCCUAUGUCCUGAAUGCACACGUCAUCAUGACAUAGGGUCAUAAAUGAAAAUUUUGACGUGUGACAUCUACUUUAUUCUCUCUAACAUUGUGUUUUAUUCAUAAUGUUUUGCUAACAUACAUUUAUAAUGAGUAAUUAACAUUGUGUUUAAUUCAUUAUGUUUAACUAACAUACAUUUAUAAUGAGUAAUUAACAUUGUGUUUAAUUCAUUAUGU